AGCAGCGUGGCUCAGUGGAAAGAGCACGGGCUUGGGAGCCAGAGGUCAUGGGUUUGAAUCCCUGCUCUGCCA
rnacentral:tRNA from 1 species